AGGACGAACGCUGGCGGCGUGCUUAAUGCAUGCAAGUCGAACGAGGUCCAUGCGGUGGCAACACCGUUGAAGACCGAGUGGCGAACGGGUGAGUAACACGUGAGCAACCUGCCCCGAAGACUGGGAUAACACCGGGAAACCGGUGCUAAUACCGGAUAUCCCCAUCUGACCGCAUGAUCGGAUGAGGAAAUGGAUUCCGCUUCGGGAGGGCUCGCGGGCUAUCAGCUUGUUGGUGAGGUAAUGGCUCACCAAGGCGACGACGGCUAGCUGGUCUGAGAGGACGACCAGCCACACUGGGACUGAGACACGGCCCAGACUCCGUACGGGAGCAGCAGCAGGGAAUCUGCGCAAGUGGGCGAAAGCCUGACGCAGCAACGCCGCGUGUGGAUGAAUGCCUUCGGUUAGUAAACCACUUUCGAGCGGGACGAAGUGACGUACCCGCAAGAAGAACGACCCCGGACCAACGUACCGUCGCCAGCACGCCGACGGUAA
rnacentral:rRNA from 1 species